UCAUAGCAGUUUUGGGUAAUACUGAUGAUAUUACAGCGGAGGGAUAGGGGGUGUAAAGUGUCUUUCUGCAGAGCAGUCAUUGUGUCGGAAGUGAGAUUUUCACCCCAGUCAACUUCAAAUCCGUGUAGCAAAAAAUCUAAAUGGUCAACCCCCUACAAAAUUAUGAUGAGGAGAUUGCCAAAUGUUGUCCCCAUUGUGCCUAUAAAGAUUGGAACCAACGGAAUGUUGAGAAAAAAGCUACAGCCUGUGAUGUUACAGCCAUUUAACAUUGAAGUCAAUGGGCAAAUAAUUGCUAGUCUGAGUCCUGAUGAGAUAAAGAAACAUGGCCGACUCGGGAUGUUGAUAUUUUUUCAAGGGCUUAUUUCCUGAAGUUUUGAAUGGAAAGUGUCAGAAAUAGUAAGAAUACUGCUUUUUUAUUGCCCAGCAGUGCCAGGGCAAUGUUUCAUAGAGUGGAAUGAUUGACCUCAACACAAGUAUUAAAAAAAAAGAAGCAAAACAGGUCUACAUCUCAAAACCUGAUCUCUUCCUGGACUGGCUUUAGGAGAACGAUGAUGCAUAUCAAUUUCAUCCCUGAUCUCUAUGACACCUGUGGUGGAAGUGGAGGGCAAAUCGUAAUCAGUUUGGGACCUCUGUAAACUUUGCUUUUUGGUGAUGACUUAAUUUCCGAGCUUGAAAAGGACGCUUGUGUGUUUAUCAUGGCCUCUCAUAUUGGAAGAUAACAUUAAUGGCUUGUGUGUUGAUCGACGGUUGUGCAUAUCUCUUGGUCAGGAAAGUUGUAGGCACCAUCGCCAUUGUAAAUCAUUUGACAGGCUCGAGUGAACGGGGCGACCUAUGAUUGGUCAGCAAUGUAUCAGAUUCCAUACCGGGGGGUGGGGAUGAAAAAACUGUUGUAGUGUUACAUAAUCAGAUUAUUUCAACUUACUUAUCCUGUGGAAAUACAGCUAUAUAGGAGAUAUUUUGAAAUUCAUAGGCACUGCAUGUUUCAACAUUUUAGAUUUGACCACAAUUUGGCACUUAAAACUAUGUUAACAGAGAAAAACUGUGUGGUUUUCGAUGAAAGUGUUAAAAGUCUAAUAUUGCAUCAUGAUUACUGUUUUAAAGUAUUUUCGUGUUUGAUUUAUAUUGAAUUCAUCUCAUCUUUUUGAAGAAUGCAUUUAUGUUCAAAAAUAAAAAUGUUCUGUGGAAUUCAAAAUUCAUGUGCUUUUAAAUUAUCAGAUUCCAAACUGGGGGGUAGGGAUGAAAAAGCUGUUGUAGUGUUACAUAAUCAGAUUAUUUCAACUUACUUAUCCUAUGGAAAUACAGCUAUAUAGGAGAUAUUUUAAAAUUGAUAGGCACUGCAUGUUUCAACAUUUUAGAUUUGACCACAAUUUGGC